GGGGAUGCAUGACUCGACGGAAUUGGCACGUUAAGAACUGCAAGCCGACGUUGAUGUACCGUCGCAAAACAGACAUCAAAAUCAUAACUGCUGAUGCACAAUCAGAGUUAGCCGAUUACGCCCGUGAAUGGCAGAUGGCUUUUGCCGCAAGGCAAUUGCCGGCCUUCGCUGCGUAAAAAGCCGUCUUACACUUUAGUUUCCGCAGCGGCUUCGUAAGACGUCAACCUGAGUUGCGGUGCGUCCUUACCGGUCCCGGCGCUCCGGUACGGAUUAAGUCAAUCCGCCUUGGUUUUCCUUUUCCUGUCAAUCGGUUACAGGGAAAACGACAACUGUAGAUUGACUACGCUUGUAGACGUUUGCGAUAUGCUGUUCCGGAUCCGGGCUCACUACCCGGCAUCUCCACCA
rnacentral:tmRNA from 1 species